rnacentral:tRNA from 1 species
GAGGUUAUAGCUCAGUGGUAGAGAGCAUGUGCUUAGCAUGCACAAGGUCCUGGGUUCAGUCCCCAGUUCCUCCA